UGGGGAAUUUUGGACAAUGGGCGAAAGCCUGAUCCAGCAAUGCCGCGUGUGUGAAGAAGGCCUUCGGGUUGUAAAGCACUUUUGUCCGGAAAGAAAUCCUUGGCUCUAAUACAGUCGGGGGAUGACGGUACCGGAAGAAUAAGCACCGGCUAACUACGUGCCAGCAGCCGCGGUAAUACGUAGGAUGCAAGCGUUAAUCGGAAUUACUGGGCGUAAAGCGUGCGCAGGCGGUUUGCUAAGACCGAUGUGAAAUCCCCGGGCUCAACCUGGGAACUGCAUUGGUGACUGGCAGGCUAGAGUAUGGCAGAGGGGGGUAGAAUUCCACGUGUAGCAGUGAAAUGCGUAGAGAUGUGGAGGAAUACCGAUGGCGAAGGCAGCCCCCUGGGCCAAUACUGACGCUCAUGCACGAAAAGCGUGGGGAGCAAACAGGAUUAGAUACCCUGGUAGUCCACGCCCUAAANGAUGUCAACUAGUUGUUGGGGACUUCAUUUUCCUUAGUAACGUAGCUAACGCGUGAAGUUGACCGCCUGGGGAGUACGGUCGCAAGAUUAAAACUCAAAGGAAUUGACGGGGUCAUAGCUGUUUCC
rnacentral:rRNA from 1 species